AACAAGGAAAAAUGCUCUCCACUUUGUUCCAUUUAAGGUUAAUGGACUGUCGGAAGGCGUUAUUUGUGAUGAAAGCUUCUUGAGAUUCAAUGAAAUCGAGAGUGAAAGGUGGUCGAGAAUUUAACUCAUGGACAAUUGAAUAUAAGAAGCGGCACAUUUCAAAGAUGAGCUAUCCUUCACGAGGAAACACGUAGUGUAUAUAAUGUAACUGAUCUGGCUUUGCCAGCACUAGGUAAGAUACAUCUAUUAUCUGCAGUUGCGUCUCAUGUCAAAUCCUUGAUGGGUUAGCUCCCCUCCAGAGCCAAAGUUCCUGGUUUUUUAGUAUUUGUCUGCCAUAGCUCACCAAUGUGUGAUUGGUUGUCACUAGCUUUUUCCAUAUUGAUGUGAAUGGUGCGCUGGUGCUCCUGAUGAACCAUAGUACUAUAGAAUGUACAGAGUGACAAGUUUUGGAUCUAUAUGGCACUAGCGAGGAUGGGUGGCAUUCAAAUGUGACCACAUUCAGAUCGUGUCGUGCUUACUGACUAGGAGGAAAAUUUUGUUGAGGGUUGUCUUUCUAUCCUGAAGACAGUUGCUUAGAUUAGUCACUGUAUCGGUAGGUUUUAUUUGUUAUCACAUUCGUAUUGCAGUUGCUACCAACUAAAUGAAAGGGGAAAAGAGGUGAAAUUAGGGUUUCUGAGUUUCGUUUUGUUUCAUAUGAAUAAUUGACAGCAUGUGAUGAACAAGUGUGAAAUGUCGUAUCAGCUAUUAUCAAUUCAUUUUUAAGUAAGCUUCAUAGGCAUUUUGGUGGUAGUUCACGCAGUUUUGCUAAGGCAUGUUGAACCAUGACUGUGAUUGAACUUUCUUACAGAACUUCAUCACCUUUGAAACAUGCUUCAUUCAGGUCUAUUGUUUGAAAACAAUUUGCAGAAAUUUUGUGUUUUUUUUAAGAGCACUGAUGGCUGCGCGAGCCCUUCUAUUACCUCUUCUUGUUUUAUAAAUUAUCCAACAGUCUUAAAUUUUCUUUUUAUUUUCUCUGUGUGCAUAUUCAACUAUUAAAGAUUAGCUUUUGCCGCUUAGCUCGUUAUUAUCCUUUUGAUUUUGCUCCUCUUAUGAUUUUGUGGAUGUAACCUAUGUUCAGGUCAUGUUAAUCAGUCCAUGUUCUGGAAUAAUCUUGCUCCAAUUCAGGGAGGAGGUGGUGAGCCAACAAAAGGUUCCAUCGGUUGGGCCAUUGACAAUCAGUUUGGCUCUUUAGACGCACUUGUGCAGAAAAUGAAUGCAGAAGAUGCUGCUUUACAACUUCAAAACAAACGCUGCGAGUUGUGAGAAUCUAGUUGAGAUUCAGGGGACCUUUCGAGUUCGAAACAUCUAAGGCUAUCAUGCGUUGCAAACUGCAAGAGUCUAGUAAGUUUGGAUAUCUCUGUUUGCAUGUCCAUUCAAUCACUUGGCCUUUCAAGUUUAAAGAAUCUAAAAGAAUCAGAUGCUGCCAACGGCGACAAUUUAGUUGAAGUUUGAGGCUUUGACCCAUAUAGAAUAUCUGGAAACGUUCUGUAUCUCUGGAUGCGCAUCCAUUGAAAGAUUCCAUGUUGCAAAUUGCCGAAAUCUAGUUGAAAUUCAUGGUCUUUACAGGUUGGAUUUACUGGCAAGAUUGAAUAUCUCUGGGUGCUCUUCUGUUAAAAGAUUACUAGACUUUUCCAGUUUAAAGACUUCGAAUUUCACGCUGCAAAUUGGAAGAAUCUAGUUGAAGUUCGAGGCCUUGAUUGAUUAAUUAGAAUCUUUGGGUAGUUUUAAUGUCUUUAGAUGCAUGUCUAUUAAAAGAUAACCAGACCUUUCAAUCCAUUAAAAGAUAAACAGACCUUCCAAGUUAAAAAUGUCUAAAGGGAUUCUAUGCUGCAGACUGCCGGAAUCUAGUUGAAAUUCAUGGCCUUGAGAGGUUGAUUUUUAGUGAUAUUGGAUAUCUCUAAUUGCACAUCCAUCAAAAGAUAACCAAACCUUUCUAGUUUAAAGAAUUUGAGGGCUUUGAUAUUGCAAGCUGCAAAAGUCUAAUUGAAACGCGACCUUGACUGGCUGGAUUUUUUGGUAAUAUUGGAUAUCUGUGGUUGCAAUUCCCUUGGGAGAUUAUCGGAUCUAUCGUGAUUGAAAACCCUGAACAGGUUGAAAAUCAACCACUGUGAUUACAUUCAAAACCUAGAGAUAUUCUCAUCCUGCAAAAGUUUGUGUAUUCAAGGUUGCAAGUUGUUACCAAACUUCCCAGAUGUGUUGAAAUUUGAUGAUUUAAGGAAUUUGAUAGUGACAGCUUGUUCGGAGCUAUCAGACAUCCCAGGGCUCAAAGGAUUGAGCUACCUAUAAAGUAUAGAGAUUUGAUGAUGCUCGUCAAUUGUCACACAAAGACUGCGACCUCGAGGGCUUGGAGACUUGGAGCUUCCACAAGCUUACGACAUUUCCAGAUGCAAGUCGCUACAACCAAUAUCUGAAUUGUCUUGAGCUUUCCUCAUAUAGAAUAUGAGCAGUUUUUACGUCGGGAAGCUUCUGGAGGCAAAGUGCAAAAACACAUAGGCAAAGGAGAGUGAUCAUGCUGCUGGACUUGUGGCGCUCUGGAUCCCCAAAAUUCGUCGGGUUCUUUCAAGUUAAUCAUCAGGACUAGUAGUGUCACACAGAGAAAUGAAGCAUCACUUCCAGGUGGUGGCAGAGAUGUGGUGGUCCCAAUGGUUGGUGCCGGCAGUUACGGGGAUCCAACUGGACUGGAGGUCGGGGCGGUGGAAGUUUCACUGACGGUGACAGCUAAUUUUUGGCCCUGAGAGCAACGGUCACUGUUAGCAAAGGUGUAGAUGAAGUAAUACUCGCAGGCUUUGUUGAGGGAAAAGGUGGCUGGUCUGUUGAUUAGUGUAUGAACGUAGAAGCAGUGUUGCAGUUAUUGUUAUCACCAUUUGACAUGUUCACGAUGUCGUGUGACCCUGCGUUGAAGUAGAACACUGGAAAAAUAAUAGAAGAUUAUUGGCAUUAAAAGAGUGAAGCUCAAGAUUGAUUUUUUGGCCACUGAAGCUCAAGAUUGAUUGCACAUAAGAUGCCUGCAGAGGUUCCCUUAACAUUGCAUGCAUCACUGGUAGACAAUCUUCUGGGGUAUCAUUUGGUUUUUGAGCAAAUUGAUGAUGAGGAAGCUGAGACGGUUUUGAUGGGAAGGAUUUUGUCGUAGAAGUGCUUGAGUCGAGCUGCGUAGCUACUGUUUGAAGGAAAGCCUGGGCUGGUAGGGGUGAGAUUACCACAACCCCUCAAAAUGAGAAGAUGUGUUUGUUCUGGUUUCUCAAUUGGCACCAAGCAGAGAGAGUCCUAAGAACUGGCCCUUGGUCGAUUAGGGGAAAUUGGAUAAACCUGCAGAGAUGGGAUGCUCAGAGGAGACGGGAGAACCUCUGUUUUCACGAACUGGAGGUGUGACUGCAAAUACAUGGAUUGGCCUUUGACCAAAUGGAAGAGAACAAUGCGAAACCUAUUGCUCGUUGGGCGGGCAAACUGGUGAAAAAAGAAGUAUUUCACACCAAAUCUCGGGGUCGUCGUGGAUUCCUUUGUGCUA